rnacentral:lncRNA from 1 species
AUAAAGCCUCACAACAUUCUUCUUGAUGACGAAUUUUGUCCAAAGAUCUCUGAUUUUGGUCUCGCGAAGCUAUGCCAGAGCAAAGUAAGUAAGAUUUCGAUGAUAGGUGCACGAGGGACUGUUGGUUACAUAGCACCUGAAGUAUUCUGCAGAUCUUUUGGAGGAGUAACUUACAAGUCUGAUGUGUAUAGUUAUGGAAUGAUGGUUCUUGAAAUGGUCGGACAAAGCAAAGACUUUGAUAUGGGAUCGUUGGAAACCAACGAGAUGUAUUUCCCGGAUUGGUUUUAUAUGUAUCUUGAACCAGGAAAGAUUUCAACACUUCAUGGAGGUACAACGGAAGAGGAAAAAGAGAUUGUUGAAAAGAUGAUCUUAGUGGGUUUGUGGUGCAUCCAAACCAUUCCAUCACAUAGACCAUCAAUGACAAAGGUGGUAGAGAUGUUUGAAGGCAGUCUUCAGUCUUUGCAAAUUCCACCGAGACCUUCCUUUUCUUCUCCUAGAAGGUCCGCUCAAGAGCAAUCUUGCACUGUAUCAUCACUGCCUUGCGUGUCAUCGCAGGGAGAUGAGGUAAACAAAUUGCCUGCUGAUGGAAGUGACUUGUAAUCGGAAACUGAAAACUUUUUGUCCAUGAUGAUAACAAAUUCUAGGAUGUACUUGAUGUUCAAUAUGUGGGAAGUGUAGAAUUGAUCUGUUCCUGCUUGCUUGUCAUUGUUUAUAAUUUCAAGGUUUAGACAAGACCAAGAGGCCGAGCUUUAUUAUUGCUUAUGGUUAAUGUCGUCGAGGCUUCAUUGCAAUUUCAAAGUUUAGAUAAAACUCAGAGGUUGAGCUUAUUAUUACUAAUGGUUAAUGUCAUCAAUGCUUCAUUACUCAGAUGUUCAAUAUAUUUCUUACUCGUAUUCGUAUUUUGCUUGAGCAGCUGAAUUAGAAUGGAAUCGUCUAUGUUCGAAACUAUACCACAAAACUUCAGGAAAGUGAACAUAAAUCUUCUACUCUUCAUCAAUAAGUUUCCUGUAGUCAUUCAUGUGAAGAACCGAUACCAGUGUAUGUUUGUAGGGAACAUAAAUCUUCUACUCUUCAUCAAAGGCUUGUGAAGAUCUUUCUGCUGUGCUUAUUGGGGUCAGAAGUAGUCGUUCCACGAUGAAGUCAAUUUGAGCUUUCGGAAUGUGUAACAACCAACCAAUCUUCCCUUGGUAACAUUAAUGCCAAUCUAAGCAGCUUCUUGGGAUGUGUAGAACUAGUGUUAUUUUCCCGGCAUUUCAAUCAGCUGCUCUGCGUAUAGGUAGCAACACUACUGAAGCAGAUGUGAUCUAAGUGUUUAAUCAAGGUUUACUGUGUCCAACAUGAUAUCAAACUUUGCCAAAAAUCAUCAUCAUGUUUUUAUAGUUCAGUUUUUUUUUUUUCGUGAAUGAGUGAUUUCAUUUAUCGAAGAAGAAAUGGCAGGAACCAAACCCUGCUUACAAGGCUUCAGGGAAAACGAAAACAAAAGGAAGGGAGGCUGUAAAAGCACUUUACAAAUAACCGUUCCUUUUCACCUGCACCUGACAGGCAAAAGAAAUAGGGUCAAGAAGCUUGCUGGUAGUAGAAUAUAAUUCAGUAUGACAUCUAGCUAGCCAAAUGAAGUACAAGUACUUCAAUUAAUUCUUCAGGGUUUAAUUUCUGUACUUUUGAACAGACAUGCGCGACUGUAAUACAGCCAUCAAAUUUCUAUCUUCCUUUACCUUUUUCAAUAUCCAAUGGUGGCUCUCACAUUUUCUUCUUUUACAGUUAUAUCAGCUACUGUACGUGGUAGUGUUAUUAGCAGUCUAUGUCAUUCUGGUACGUUUCACUAAAGGAGAAGGAUUAUUUAGUGGCGAGACAAUGACCCUCUGGGGGAAGAACACGAAGCACAAUGAAAAGAUUGAGGCAUUCAUGGUGAACUGUCACUCUUUUAUUCCAAAGAGGUACUAAUAUUCAGACAUUAAGAAAAUGGACAACUCAUUUAACAACUAGAUUAGAUCAAGGGGGAUUUGGUGGUGUAUACGUAGGGAAGUUUUUAGAAACUGAUGGAGAAGAAUUUAAUAAUGAAUUAAGUUGCAAGCAUCAGUAGAAACUUCCCAUACAAACAUAGUUAAUCUUCUGGUUUUUUGCUAUGAGAGAACUAAAAGAGCCUUAAUCUAUGAAUCCAUGCCCAGUGGAUCUCUUGUAUCUUAUAAAGGAUCCGCUCAAAUAAAAUGUCAUCUAGAAUGGAAUACGUCGCAGUUGGAGUUUCUAGAGGUCUGGAGUACUUACAUAGAGGUUGUAACACUAGGAUUGUUCAUUUUGACAUAAAGCUUCACAACAUUCUUCUUGAUGAAGAUUUUUGUCCAAAGAUCCCUGAUUUGGGUCUGCAAGAGCAAAGAGAGUAACCUUUCAAUGGCGGUUGCAAGAGGGACUGCCGGCACCAGAAGUAUUCUGCGAAACUUUUGAGAAGUUUUUUACAAGUUCGAUGUGUGUAUUUAUGGAAUAAAAUAUAAUUUUAAAAGUAUUUUGAAAAGUGGUUAAAUAAAACUGUCAAACAGAGAUAAUGCUUUUGUCAUCUCUUUCCUGCCAAGUUUUGGUUCAUCAUUUUUCUAAUAAUAACCCUUCUCCAUGCUACCUUUGCCAAUGAUGACGAGCGAUAUUAGUUAUCCUUUCUGGGGAUCCAAUUGGCCUGCAUACUGUGGCUAUCCGAAGUUGGAGCUCAAUUGCAGAAACCAGGAUCUGGAGAUCACAAUCAAGCAAUUGACAUACAAAGUCCUUCACAUACAAAAACCAGUCACGGACUCUCAGCGUUUCCCGGUCAGAUUGUGCAGAAAACAUCUGCCCCACACUCCUCAGCACCACUUGGAUUCCCAAUUUUUUGAACUACACAUCUGAUGAUCAUAGCAUAACGAUCUACUUUGGUUUCCCCACUCAAGGUUAACCAACUUCUGCGCUUUAAACUCAGUUUCCCUGCAACAUAAACACCACUGAGAUGACGGGGGCUACUUUUUACUGAAACGGCCGACUUUUCUGCCCUUGGUAGCUCUGCUUCUAACCUGAUCAGUUAGCUGGCAUCGUGCAACGAUAGCAUUGAAGUUCCAGUGCGUUAAUCAGCUCUUGAGUAAAUUAUAAAUAAUCCAACUGUAACACAGUUGCAGGGAGCUCUAAAUCAAGGUUUUGGGUUGGAGUGGAAGCACGAGAUAACUUAUGUGAUACAUGCCAACUUUCUAGUGGUCAGUUUGGAGACAACCAGACUACUACAGCAGCAUUCACUUGUUAUUGCAAGGAUCAACCUCGACAAUUAAUUUUCUUGCCAAGAAUCCACAACUUAUAAUCAAUCCCCAAGUAUGUCCUCUUCCCUGUUAUUAUUUUUUGGGAAAAUUGUUAGGUAUUAGUUACAAUACUAGUAAAGGUCGGAAUCCUUGAUUAAAAAGAUUUGUGUUAAAUUAGUUUAUUACAAUCUUUGUUGUUUAAUUAGAUAGUUAGAUUACUAGAUAGAUUAGGAUAGUUAAAGGAUUAAUUUCCUUAUAAAUAUAAGGGUUAAGGUAGAAGGAGCAGCAGCUUAAACAGCAACAGUUUUUCAACGUAGCAGUAGAAAAUUUCCAGCAGCAAAAAUAAUAGUAACAGACGAAAUAGCAGCAGUAGUUCUAAACCCAGCAGAAUAUCCAGCGACAGUGUGUUAAAAAAAUAAUUCAGCAGCUGUUUUAACAAAUAAAUUAAUAAUUAUUGUUGUUAUUUAUUUUUAGAUUUCUAUAUAAAAAAAUAAAAAAAUAUAUAUUUAGAAGAAAAUCAAAAAAUAAUAGGAGAAGAAUACGCUGGAGCACCAAAAAAAUAACUAAAAAAAAUUAGUUGAGGAGAUUUAAAAAUAUAAAAAUUAAAAUUUAAUAAUAUAUUUUUUAUUAAAAAAACUGUAUCAACAAAAAAAAAUUCAAUUUGAAAUCUAAAAAUAAUUAAAAUAUCAUCCUUCUCCAUUACAAAACAACAUCUCCACCACAUCUCUUCCUUUCUUCUUCUUUUUUAUGCAUAGUAACCUUUCUUUUCCAUCACCAUCAAUCUCCUUUUCGUGAAUAGCUUCUUUGUCGAACAAACAAAAUUUUAAGUCAUAUACAUACUAUCUCUAAUUUCCUGCAGUACUUAAUAUAGGAUUUGGAUCACUCUUUCUCUCCGUAGUGAAAGAUCUUUUUGGAGCUUAAAACAUGGAUGGAGUUUCCUUGGCUUCACUUCUACAUUAACGACUAGAUUGCUGCUUUCAAUUCCAGAUUCUCUUGAGACGGUUUUUGAAUUGAUUUCUUGUUUCUGGAUUCUUUAUUAGUCCUGGAUUGCAAGGGAAAAAUUGACAGUGGGUGUCAUUUAUCAGUCCACACCUCAGCAUUAGCAUCUUGAUUUGGACAGAAAGACUUCUUUGAGUAAUGAAUGGUAAGGAGAAGGGCCACGCUAAAAAAGAUCAAUUGAUAGGGACGACAUUAAUAAAAUUAUAAAGGUUGAAGGAUCUUUGAACUUGUUAACCCACCCAUUCUAUCUAUACAAGUCUCCCCUAGCUAGCCAAACAAAUCAAAAUUCUCAAGGAAAGAUCCUAGUAACCUUCCAAUUGACUUAAACAACUUUUUAGUGUCAUCAUCCAAAGAUAUUUCCUCGUGACUUCUGUCUUUUGGAAAGAUCGUAGCUCGCUCAUGGAAUCCAGUGAAGAAACAAAUUAUAAAUUCAAAUAUAUUAGACAAUUCUUGAUAAAUAACCCUCUUUUCCCAUCAAAAUAGAAAAGAAAAAAAAUACUAAUUUCACCAUAAUCUCUUAAUUCAUAUUUUUAAGGUAAAUAUGAACUUAUAUCUCACUAAUAUAACCAAGUCAAUAGUCAUGUUCUAUACAACCACUCUCCCAUUACCAACACCAGUACACCAUUAACCUUACACCAUUCCACCACCAGCUGCACAACCCCUUCUGAUUCCUCCACCAAUGCACACCCUCACCACCACCUCCUCUUUCCUUCUCACCCUCUUUCUCUCCCUCCACUUAACGACAUCGCUUCCUUCCAAUGACACUGGUAAUCUUUCAAACUGCAAUCAAAACUUCUCCUGUGGUAUCCUCACAAACGUCACCUACCCUUUCACUGGUGGCCUACGUCCAUCCCACUGCGGCCCACCGGAGUUCGGCCUCACAUGUGAGGAUGAAUCAGUCACCAUCCUAAAAGCUAACUCACUGAGUUACCGAGUCAAUAUUCUUGACCAGACCAGCCAAACCUUAAGACUCUCACGUUCAGACCUCUACGACGACGGAAAAUGUACCCGCCAAUUCACUAACACCACUCUGGAUGACAGAAUCUUCAGUCUUGGUUCCAGCAAUGAACUUUUUUUGUUUUAUGGUUGCAAGAAGAUUAACGACUCUGGCAUGGGAUCAGAUCCGCUGCUAAAAAUCUCUAGGUUCUCUUGUGAAAAUGAUGGAGUUACAGAAGAAGGGUUUUUCUCGAUUGUUUACCCUUACGGUACUGAAUAUUCUUUUCCGAAUACGUUUGAGUGUCAAACUAAUAUUCGAGUGCCAAUUCCUGAGACUCGGGCACAACAGCUUCUUGAGAACGGGUCAUUAGUUGGUGAGGUUUUGAAAGAAGGGUUUGAUGUCAGUUAUGGUAAUCCUUACAGUGCUAAUUGUACAGAGUGUUACAAGAAGCACCCUGGUGAGUAUUGUGGAUUUGAUACACAGUUGGGUAAACCUAUUUGCAUUUGUCAUGAUCAGCUCUGUCCUGGUAAGCAAAAAUCUUUAGUUUUCAUGAGUUUGUUUGUGCAACGAUUAUUAGGUUAUGCAUGACAAAUAUGGAGUACCUCCAUCAUAUGCUCCUCCUUAAAUCUCCUAUAGAGGGUAUAUGAGCAUCUAUAUUUAUUGAAAUUGAAAGUUGCAUGACUAAAGAAUCAAAUUAGCACAUUAAAAUUUCUAAACUAAACAAAUCCUUGUAAUUUUCAAAAAUUAAAUAAAUAUUAUUACAAUAAAAAUGAUUAUGUCAAAAGAUUAAAAAACAAAAUCGCACAUCAAUAUUCCCUAACGCUGAGGUAUUGCAACUUUAUUAAUAUAUAUAAUUUUAUAAUUUUAACAACUUUUUAAUCAUUAAAUAAAAUAUAAUAACAAACUUGUAAAUAAUUUUUUUUUUUUGAUAUUUUUUCGAGGCUUGAGGAUGUAAAGUAUUAUAAAGUUAUUAAGUUGAUGUAAAGUAUAAUUCUUUAAAAAACAGGGAUAGUGUGAAAAAAUGAUCAAAGAGGCUUGAUGUAAUUUUUUUAUUAUUAAAAAUUGAAAAGUAUAAAAUACUAUAAUUUUAAAUCUUCAAGUAACAAGUAUUUCAUAGUCUUAGCAAAUGUUAACACUCAUAUAGCAGUCUUUUAUCUAUAGUGUAGAUAAUGAGAAAAAUGAGGUUGUAACCAUAAAAUUGACAGUGGGUGUUAUUUAUCAGUCCACGUCAGCAUUAACAUCUUGAUUUGGACAGAAAGACUUCUUUGAGUAAUGAAUGGUGAGUAGAAGGGCCACGCUAAAAAAAAUCAAUUGAUAGGGACGACAUUAAGAAGAUUAUAAAGGUUGAAGGAUCUUUGAACUUGUUAAACCACCCAUUCUAUCUAUACAAGUCUCCCCUGGCUAGGCAAGCAAAUCAAAAUUCUCAAGGAAAGAUCCUAGUAACCUUCCAAUUGACUUCAACAACUUUUUAGUGUCAUCAUACGGAGAUAUUUCCUCGUGACUUCUGUCUUAUGGAAAGAUCGUAGCUCGCUCAUGGAAUCCAGUGAAGAAACAAAUUAUAAAUUCAAAUACAUUAGACAAUUCUGGAUAAAUAACCUCUUUUCCCAUCUAAAUAGAAAAGAAAAAAAAUAAUAAUUUCACCAUAAUCUCUUAAUUCAUGUUUUUAAGGGUAAAUAUGAACUUAUAUCUCACUAAUAUAAAAUGAGAGCUUUGAAUAAUUAUAAUAGAAUUUAUUUUUAUACUAAAUAAUUUAUCAUGAACUUAGUCUUACUGUUGCGAGAAUUGUUUUCAAGACAAAACUAUUUUAUUUAGCUUGACAAAAAUAAAAAACAAACCUGUAUUUGUUCUUCAUCUAAAUGCUGCUCUUGUUUGAAUUAAUUUUUCUAUGAUAUAGCUCAUGCACGGGAGGAAACUCUCACAGUGCUGGUAAGAGACACUAUCUCUCACCUUCAUUUUUUGUCCAUGAUGUUAGUAUGUACUUGAUGUUCAAUAUGUGGGAAGUGUAGAAUUGAUCUGUUCCUGCUUGCUUGUCGUUGUUUAUAAUUUCAAGUUUAGACAAGACUAAGAGGCCGAGCUUUAUUAUUGCUUAUGGUUAAUGUCAUCAAAGCUUCAUUGCAAUUUUCAUAGCGAACUUCUAUAUUUUUCUUACUCUGGUCAUUAUAACGACCAUGAACCUGAACGGCCAAUAUAGGAGGCACAGAGUGAAUUCAUUCACCGAAGAUGAAAUAGCAGGAACCAAUCCCUGCUUACAAGGCUCUGGGGAAGACGAAAACAAAAGGAAGGGAGGCUGUAAUAGCACAUUACAAAUAGAUGUUCCUUUUCACCUGCACUUGACAGAGAAAGAAAGAGUUAAGAAACUUGCAGGUAGUAGAAUAUAAUUCAGCAUGCCAAUAUCUAACUAGUCAAAUGAAGCACAAGUACUUCGAUUAAUCCUUCAUGGUUUGAUUUCUGCUACACGACUUUUGAAGAGACACUGGCGACUUAUCACUACAAAAGAUAGUACAGUAAUCAAAUUCAUAUCUCCCUGUUUUCUUUUUUUUUCUUUUUUUAUUCAGAUAUCUAGGUCAAUUUGUGUAUAUCUCAACUCAUAAGUUUUAAAAUUAAUAAUCAGAUAAGUCUCUAAUUGCCAUCAAUAACAGGUGGUGGUAACUAUUUCAUGGUUCUCACGUUUUCUUCUUUUAAGCCAUAUCAGCUCCUGUGGUGCUGUUAUUAGCAGUCUUUAUCAUUUUGUACGUUUUACUAAAAGAGAAGGAUUAUUUAGUGGCAAGACAAUGAUCCUCUAGCGGAAGAAUACAAAGCACAAUGAAAAGAUUGAGGCAUUCAUUGUUGUAAUCCAAAUUUUGAUCCAAUUGCGUUUUAGUCUAAUUUUAAGGGGUUAAAAUUUGAAAUUUAAAGAUCAGACGCUUGAAUGCAAAAUUUGGAAACUUCAAGGACCAAAUUGAGAAAUGGUCAUUCCCAGUCCAAAACGGCACCGUUUCGACCAUGCACAGUUUCUUCUUCUUCCUCUGACGCUGCAAAUCCGCCUGCAAAAAAGGGGAAGAAAUUAAGAUGCCAGCAUCCUAGUCCUGCCAAAACACAAAGAUCAAAUCCCUAUCUUCAUGAAGAUUACUACCCCGGGGAGAUAAGGAUCAAGCCUCAGGUGUCCAAGUCCCAGCAAAAAAAACCAAUACCUCCCUCCCAGCCAUGCUUAUCAAGAGAAAAGCCGUGCGAGGAGGGAGAACCAGGGACGUCCCCUAUAAAUACAGAGCUCUCCAGAGGAACCGGGAUGGGGGGGGAAUUCAGAGGAAAAAAGAGAAAACAGAGAGGAUAAAAACAGAGGGAGAACCAGGGGAGAAAAGGAGGAAAAAAACAGAGGAAAGAAAAAAAACCAAAAAAAAGAAACAAGAGAACCAGGAAGAGAUAGAACGUGGAAGACAGAAACAGAAGGAACAAGAGAAAACUUGAAAGCAGGAACGUCGCUCAGCAUCAGCAAUCUCGCGUAAAUUUUCUGCAAAACCAGGUAAGUAUUUUGCUUUUCCCCGCUCUCAUUUUAAUUCAUUAAAGAUUGUUCUCCCUGCAUUUUAAUUACCCCGUCCCUGUAGCAAGCGUGCGUGAAUAGUUCACACACGCUUGCAGCCAAAGAGAUUAAACGGGCUGGGUUACUGAUUUGAACCAGUAACCGGGCCGAGCAGCUGGGUGUAGUCCAACCUCUAUGGUUGGGCUAGACCCAGUCCCCAAAAAAAGGUAAAAAAGAGAGUGGGCUGGUUAUGGGCUUUAGACCCAGCCGGCCUAAAUUGUGUUUACUAAGGGUGUGUUUGGCAAAACGCAUCCUUAUACCUUGACCAUAAUUUUUAUGUCCAUUGUAGUUUGAUAUUUGGCCAAACAAGCUCUAUUUUUAUAUAUAAAAAUUUCAAAAUAUUUGGGGAUCUUUGUUGAUUUAUUUGUGGACCCCUCACACUUUGAUUUAUUUUUUUUCUUUGUGUUUUUAUUUUUUUCAGCUAUGUACUUAAUCUGUGGACUAUUAUUGUUAAAUGCAAAUUUGUCGUGCAAUGUUUUUUUUUUCAUCUAAAAAUGACAAAUAAUAAUAAAGAUAAAUAAAAAAACAGCAUAGAAAACUUUUUCUUCAAAUUCAAUUUUUUGCAAAAUUAUUCACUAACGCUAGAGUUAGAAAUAUCACAAUUUUUUAGGUUUGUGCGAUAUUUACCACCGUCAGAGUUAAAAAUAUUUGUAUGAACUGUUCACUGACGCCAGAGUCAGGAACAUGAUAGGAAGAAUUAAAAAAAAAAGAACAUAUUCUUAGUAAUUUUAGACAAAAUCAGUAAUGCAGUCUGUCUCAGGUAGAACGCUUAAGAGGUGAUAGUAUUUUUCAUUUUGCAUAACCAGUCCUCUACUAUUAGAAUCUUUGUUGACCAGUUAUGAUUUCUAGUGACCAUAAUACUAAGUGGCGACUCCUUAAACUAUAUAUUUUUUUCUAAAAAAAUAAGAUAUCAGAUAUUUUUUUUUUUUAUUGAGAGUUAAUUUUUUAUCUAUCACUGCGAUGUCCGAGUGUGACAUUCAUGAUGAACUAUCACUCUCUUAUUCCAAAGUGCUAUUCAUUUUCAGAUAUUAAGAAAAUGAACAAUUCAUUUAACAACAGAUCAAGGGGGAUUUGAUGGUGUAUACGAAGGGAAGUUGCUAGGUGGUCGUCUUGUGGCAGUAAAAGUCCUCACUAAGUUACUGAUGGAGAAGAAUUUAUUAAUGAAGUUGCAAGCAUUAGUAGAACUUCCCAAUAAACACAGUUAAUCUUUUGGGUUUUUGACAUGAGAGGACUGAAAGAGUCUUAAUCUAUGAGUACAUGCCCGAUGGAUCUCUCGAUAAGGUAGCGUUUGCCAUGAUCGAUAAUAUAAAACUGGGUAAACAAUUCAUUAAUUCUUUAUAUAUAUAUAUAUAUAUAUAUAUAUAUAUAUAUAUAUAUAUAUAUAUAUAUAUAUAUAUAUAUUGUCAAAACAAGAUUGUUUUUUUUUUUUUAAUUUGAAUCAACCCGGGUUAAUCCUACCAAGUCAUGAGUAUUCAGGUCUUACCCCAGAUCGAUCCUAGUGUUAGGAUUUAAAACUAUAAUGAUAAUCAUUUUUAUUUUUACAUUACUUUGAGUCAAUCCGGGUUGACUAUCCCUACCCUUGCCCGAAAACACUGUUCUGAUUGUUUCCUGAACCCCUGUGGNNNNNNNNNNNNNNNNNNNNNNNNNNNNNNNNNNNNNNNNNNNNNNNNNNNNNNNNNNNNNNNNNNNNNNNNNNNNNNNNNNNNNNNNNNNNNNNNNNNNCUCGGGUUAAUGGUCAACUCAACCUAUAACUCGAGUCUAACCUCGGGUUGACCCACGAGUAGGGUUUUAAAACUAUGAUAAUAACUAUUUUUAUCUUUAUAUUGACCCAGGUCAAUGGUCAACUCGGCCUGUGACCUGAGUCUAAUCUUGGGUCAACUCUUGAGUCGGGUUUUAAAAUUAUGAUAAUAAUAAUUUUUAUCCUUAUAUUGACCUGAGUCAAAGGGCAGGCUGGCCUGUGACCCGAACCUAACCCUAGGUUAAACUCCAAGUUGAGUUUUAAAAUAAUAAUAAUAAUAAUCAUCAUCUUUAUCUUUAUGUUGACUAAAGUCAAUGGUCAACCCGACCUGUGACCCGGGCCUUGUCCCUAGCCGACCCUCAAGUCGAGUUCUAAAACUAUGAUAAUAACCAUUUUUAUCCUUACGUUGACCCGAGUUAAUGAUGAACCCAGCUUGUGACCUGAGCCUAGCUUUAGGUCAACCUCCAAGUUGAGUUUUAAAAUUAUAAUAAUAACUAUUAUUAUUCUUAUGUUGACCCGGGUCAAUGGUCAACUCUAUCGUGACCUAGACCUGGCCUUGAAGCGACUCUCAAGUUGAGUUUUAAAACUAUAACAAUAACUACUUUUAUCUUUAUGUUAACUCGGGUUAAUGGUCCCAACUCGCGACUCAGGUCUAACUCUGAGUUGACCCUUAAGUCGGAUUUUAAAAAUAUAACAAUAAACUACUUUUAUCCUUAUGUUAACUCGGGUGAAUGGUCCCGAUCCGCGACCCAAGCUCAGUCCCAAGUUGAGUUUUAAAACUAUAAUAAUUACUUUUAGCUUGAAUCGAGUUUUAAAAUUAUGAUAAUAAUUAUUUUUAUUCUUAAAUUGAUUCAAGUCAAUGAUCAACCCGAGCUGACCCUUGGUUGAGUUUUAAAGCUAUACUAUAACCAUUUUUAUUGUUAAAGAUACCAAACACUAUCUAAGUUUAUGUCUUGUAAAGAAUUCGAACAAAUAAAAUAGAAAGCAUACUUCGAUGAAUAACAAUCUAUUUAAGAAAAUGCAGUCCUGAAUUUAAUUUGAUGAAAAGCUUUGUUUCUCUUCUGAGCUUCAAUUAUUUUGAAGUAUGUUUUGAUGAAAAAAGAUGUUUGAUAAAAAUCAGUUUUCUUAAUAAAUUUCUUAUCCCAUACAUUCAUCAAUAUUAGUUAUAAUAAAAAACCACAUUUCAAAAUUAAUCAUUGAAGAGCCCAUUAGCUUAUCUAUAUAUCCAUCACAUCUUACACCCAGCUUUCAAUUUCAUGUUAUUACCACCAUGCCAUUUGACUUUUCCAACCAUGCUAGAAUUAAUGUAAUUUCUAUUUCAGCUUUCAACUUCAUGUUAUUUUUUAUGUAUUUAUUUUUGUUACUCAUUUCUUUAUCCUCUGAACUUUAAUUUCCCAGAAACAACAAAGCCCAUUUUGCUAACACACAAUUCCAUUUUGAAACCCUAUGUCACGCAAUCGGUUUUAGCCUUCUAUUUAAUUUACAAUAUUCUUGAUUUCAUUUUUUAUUUAAACCAACGCAAAGGGUCUCAAACCAUAGAUAAAUUCUUACUUUACAAUAUUCUUGAUUUCAUUUUUUAUUUUUUAUUACAUAUUUAGGCUGAAUUGAAUACAAACAUUUCAUUUUUUUUCUGGGAAGUUUUGUUGAACCUUGGUUUGAGCAAUUGGACAACCCUAUCAUUUUCUCUUAAUUAUUUUUGUUAUUAGGUACGAGAGAGACCCGAUUUCAUGUUAUUAUCAUCAACCACAUAUAUAAUUUAUUUUCCAAACUAUGCGAGCAUUUUUUUGCAAGAUAUUUGACCGAUUCUGUUCUCUUCUUUUAGUCCCCAAGACAGUGAUGCAUCAUAGCAUACAAGAUUUCAUUUUGCAAAUAGAGGCCUCGUAGAAAGAAAUUAAUGUGGUAGCCCUUUCCCAAGAAAAAACAUAACUUAAAAACUUUGAGUCCACCAAGCAUUUAAAUCCAAGUAUUGCGUUCCCAUCUAUCCCUUUCUGAUGUAUUUAUUUACCUGAAAUUGAUAAUUAGCACGUCAAGACUCAUCUCUUUAUACUCGAAACCAUCCCUGAAACAACCAAGCCCAUUUUGCUAACACACAAUUCCAUUUCUCCGAUGGUACUUCCUCUUGCCAGAAUGAAUUCCUCGGCCUUUUCUUUUCUUUCAGAUAUUGUUCUUGUAUUGUUGCUCUUCAUUCAAGUCCCUUCAUCCUUAGGCAACGAUGCCAUGUUCGGUACUGCCUGUAGUAAAAAGUUUGUGUGUGGGGAUAUUUUCGUGGAUUUUCCAUUUUGGGGAAAUGACAGAUCACCUACCUGUGGCGUUCCUGAUUUGGAGCUCAGAUGUGAGUAUAAUAUCGCCAAGAUGAAAAUCAAUCAGGUUGCCUAUCGUGUUUUGGAAAUCAAUCAGGAUGCUAGAAUUCUCAGGAUUGCAAGAGAGGACUACUUUGUUGGAUUGUGUACACCUCAAUUUACGAGCACCACGUUCAAUCCUAAGGUUUUCGAGCCUGUUGAGGGUUCCAAAAAUCUUACAUUCAUUUAUGGUUGCAAGGAUGCUCCUGAUCCAACCAUACAUGGUCCUGGUAUACCUUUCACUUGCAAAAUAAAUGAGGUUAAUGAUCAACGUGGUUAUAUCCAAGAAGGAGAUACUGGUCCUGGUGAAUGCAAUCGUAGUGUCUUAGUGCCAGUUUCUACAACAGAUUUGCCACCAUUCUGGAAUAGGCUAGCUUUGGAAGAACACUUGGAAAAAGGAUUCCAGGUAAGAUGGAAGGUCGAUGGGGAUGCGUGUUGGGAAUGCUCCACCUCUUCAGGUAAGUACCUCAACUUCUCCUCGAAUCAGUUUAUGAUGAACUCCAGUCACUUGUUGAUGCUUCACACACCUUAGUUCCGUUCCUGUUUUGUUAUUUUAAUUUUAUUUUAAAUAGACUUGGACAGAAGUAAACAUCAAUAUGAUGAUGAUGAUGAUGAUGAUGAUCUCUUAGAACCACUUGAAUAGUCUAUUAGGGAGGCUCGAACUGCAGAGCUAGACCAUGGGAAUAAGGGACAGCUUUCUGGUUAGGAAACGGUCACACCAUAGUUAAAUUGAUGCCCAUGGUGUCUUAUCGUAUAUACAACUACUCGUAGGAAAUCUUGAUGGCAUGUUCUGCAGAUUUUUUGAACUGACAGAGAAAAUUAUAUGUGAUUUUUGUCAACUAAUUGAUCAUAGCUAAGAAUUUAACUUGUCUGCUUUAAGAGUUGCCUAAAUUAUUUAUUCAGUCCUCGUUUUAUUAGAAAAAUAAUUAGUAAGUCCAUCUGAUUAAAAAUAAACAAUAUUAUAUCCCUAUGUUUCAUUUCCAUCAUAUUUUAAUCACUUCACUAAGUGUUUGUUAAUUAAGAGUUGAGUUGUCACCAAUUUAACUCUUCUUUUUUUAACAUAAUAUCCCCUUUUAAAUUAAAAUAAAUUUAUAAGACUUAAUUUGAGGUUGAUCUUUUUAAGAUCUAGAUCACGGAUAAUGACUUGACUCGUGCCAAUUUAAGUUUUUUUUGUUUUUUAAAAAAAAAACUUCAAAGGAAAUUGUUUGGGGUUUUUAUUUUUUUUUAAAAAAUAACAUUGUUUAAAAAAAAAACUGAAUUCUGCUAUUAACUUGGUCUAGGUUUAGCCUCAAGUCAGCGAUUAUAAAAUUGACGGCCGAGCAAAAAUUAUAACUAUGAAUUUUUCCAUUUUUAACAUGCAUGUGAUUGUUGCCUCUGGGAGCUGUUCAUAUUCCUUGACGGCUGGACCGGCAAGGUACCAAACAAAAACAUACAAUAACGAAGGAUUUAUAAAUUCUUGCACCAGUAGGGAGGAUUCGGGGAGUGGUGGCCCGAGACUCUCUGGCAUAUUUUUACCUUAGCUUGGAUGGAUAUUCAGGGGAGAUGAGAUGGUGAUUUAGGAAGGAUCUCAUCUGACAAACAACCUAAACCCCGAAGAAAUAAUUAAUUAUUCGAUUGGAAUUAGCAAAUCUAAUCAACAUAAUAGAAAUUACAGGGAACAUUUGAUAAUUAAAAUAUGGGGGGGUAAAGGUAGGAAAACACCAGGAAAUUCACAAGGUGAUGCAGAAAUGGAGUCCACAUCAGAGACUUGGUCUUUCUGCAGAUGUCAUUUUCUUCUUUGUUCUGUUUCCUGGAAUAAUCUAUCAACUGAAACUUCAAAUUCCCACCUCCUGUUUUCGUCUGCUUUGACUUUAGGUGGCACGUACGAAAUUAAUUUUAAAUAAUUCACACGUUUACUCCAGGAAUUUAAACAUACAUAGGGCACCGUAACAUCACAAAAUUCUUUUUCCUUGAUUCGUCAUUAUGCCAUAUAAAUUUAAUCAGCCAAAAUAAUAGCACAAAGGAUAUCAAUAUAAGGUUACAGUAACUCAUAUUAUUUACAAUAAAUUAUAUUUAAUUUUUAUAUUUUUAUAAUGUGAAAGUAGUGAUGUGUUUAUGACUCUCUUUUUUUUAUAUAGAUUUUCAUUUCAUAAAUUCAUACUUGGAGCAACAUUAAGAUCUUAAAAGCUAAAUAAUCUAAAGAUAUAUCAUGAAAUUAAAAUAAUAAAAUAAUAUAUAAAGGCUUGUAGCUGCCAUGAAAACAGGAAUAGACAUCUCUUCUUCCUUUUUAGCGCGUGACCCAGUGACGUUAAAGUAAGAAAUGAUUUGGUGUAUAAGGGUAUACCAAAAGUGCUAUGCAAUCGCUUGUGUCAAGUGGCCACAUCACCUUCCAAUUUAAGCCAAACUCAAUAGUCAGCUCUUAAAAUUCUUGACGAAGCCUGUUCUCGGUAUUUUGUGAGUUCCGUUAACACGAUUUUCUAGCUACCUCUUAAACUCAUCAUCAUUAUUCUAAUAUUAUAUAUUCAAAAAUCAUUUCAAUCUCAAAGUAAAAUUUUAGAUUAUAAUUUAUAUUGUUGUUUAACAAUAAAAAACUUAGAACAGGUUAUUUAUUCUAUCAAAAGUUCAACAUCAUUUUUUUAGGAUGUUUGGAAAUAUAAUAAAUAUUGUUUUUUAAAGUGUUUUUUUAUUUAAAAAUUAAUUUUAAAUAAAAAUAAAUAGAUUUUAACCAAUUUUUUGUACCGCAAUCCCAAAUGUACCUUUAGUCACCCAGAAAUUAGGUUGCAAGAAAAUAAAUAUUUGACUAUCAGAAGUAUUCAGAUACCAAUGUUUACGUUGGCCAUAGUACAAUAAGUAUAAAACCAUACAUUUAAGACAUGAAACUUGAGAAUUUUAACAAGAACACAGAAUUUGACUAUCAGGAUUCAAAAUACACAUUAUCUUGCUGACAAAAUGACCUGCCUCCUUGUUUGGCCACCUGAAUUUACGUUGAUGCCACUCUCACCAUUAAUUCUAAUGGAAGCUUCUCUUUGAUAAAAUCCCCAUUGGUCAAAUAAGUACUACCAAUUCUAUUGUAUUGAUCGAGUAAAUAACUCCCACCUAUGUGUUUCUUCCUCUUAACUCAAUACUUGAACAACGUUUCCUGUCAAUACCUCUGCAAAAACACGACCGCUACUCCUUCAGGCCAUGUCUUGGCUUAUCCUACUCCUAACCAUAGCCUUGGUCUGUGGUUCAGCACCUGUGUUUGCUGAUGAUGAUGAGCGAUAUCUGAACUGCAUGAAGUCAUUUGAUUGCGGAGAUAUUAAAGAUGUUGGUUAUCCUUUCUCGGGAUCCGAUAGGCCUGAUUACUGUGGCUAUCCCGGGUUUGAGCUCGGUUGCAGCAACCAAGAUCCGGAGAUCACAAUCAUGCAAUCGACUUACAAACUCCUUGGCAUCAAUAACCAGUCGCGGACUCUCAAUGUUUCUAGAUCAGAUUACACAGAAAAUCUAUGUCCUACUCUCCUUUCCAACACCUCUUUGAAUCCAAAUCUCUUGAGUUCCACUUCAGAUCAUGCUGAGGUAACACUAUACUAUGGUUGCCCUAGUCCAAGCCCACCAGCGUUAUCAUCUCAGUUUACUUGCAACAUUAACGACACUGUUAUGGUGGGAAACUUUAUAACAGUCAACUUCUCUGUCCUUAGCAUUACUGAUCCCAGCUUAAUCAGCUACCUGACAACAUGCAACAAUAGUGUUAAAUUUCCUGCCCAUCAAUCAGCUAUUGUGCCAAUUCUAGUCAGUCCAAAUGUAUCAGAGUUUCUUGAAGCUAUUAAUCAAGGUUUUGAGUUGGAGUGGAGUGCAAAUGAUUCAUUAUGUGAUACAUGCGAAUCUUCUGGUGGUCAGUGUGGGUACAACAAGACCACUACAGCAUUCACUUGUUACUGUGCGGGUCAACCUCAAGAUUUUGAAUGCUCAUCAUCACCACAGGCACCUAGUCAAUCUACAAGUAUGUCCUCUUUUCUUUCUGGAUGCCAUAAUUGGAUAGAUAGAGAUAGCUGAAAUCUAAGAUAUGCCCUCCAGGCUAGGUGAUGUAGGAGGACCUCUGGUAAAAGAAACAGGUGUGAAUCGUUCCUUUGAGUAGAGGGAGGAACCUAGCUAGCUAUUAGGAAUUGUUCAAAGCUCCAUGAUCCUGAAGAGAACACCUUCCUCGACCAUUUAAUUCCAGUAUAUCAAGGAAACAAAGACUUCGAUUAACUGACAAAGACUUCAUAAAAAUAAUAUUUUAUAAAAAGAGAUACAAUAAAAUAACCUUUUCGUUUAGUAAAGUCAAACGAGGCCUCGUCUCUAUCACUGAAACCCAAUGUCACCCUAUGUCACGCAAUCGGUUUCAACCUUCUAUUUAAUUUAAUUUAAUUUAAUUUCUAUACAUCUAUUUCUUUGUUUACUAGCCCAGUCCAUACUCAAAGUGCGUUUUUUUAUUGGUCAUAGCACCCCAAUUUGAUGUUCCAUCCCUGCAAGUGGUCGCAUGUGGGAAAUCACAGUACAUUUUACUUACAUGACCGUAGCUUUAAAACAAAUAAUUCAAUCUUACAGACUUUAUACUCCAAAAGGUUUUCUCAAACUAAUCUACAAUUUUCUGAGUAAUUGUUAAUUAUAAAUACAAGUUUGAUAGUUGGAGGAGGGCUUGUAAUAGUUAUUAACUAGUUUCUUUGGAUCGGAUCAAAAUGUUUCUGAAUAUAGAAAAUAAAAAAUCUCAAGCCACAUCGAAGUUACAUUGUGAUUAGUGCGGUUGGGUAUUUUUUUUUUUAGUUUUUUUUGUUAUGUUUUUUUUUUCAUCAGUUAAAAUAAAAUUUUUAUUUAAUUUUAUUCUUUAUUAUUAGGUUAAUAGCAAAUUAUUUUUUGUAGUUUUUAUCAUAAAAUAAAAUAAAAUAAUAAAUUAAUCAAGUUAAGUGUAUGAUCUUAAUUACAAGUUUGACAUGUUGACUAAACAUUAAUAAAAUGAUCGGGGUUGGGUUUUUUUAUACUUUUUUUUAUAUAUAUCUUUUGAAUUUUUUUUGUCAAUUCUAUUAUUUAAUGUGAGAUUUUUAUUGAAUUCUCUCAUUCAGUGUUGAGUUAAUGAUAAAUUAAUCUUGAUAUUUUCUAUCUUAUAAUAAAAUAAAAAUUCAUUCGAUUUAAUAGAGUCCAUAACCCAGGUCACGAGGUUGACAAGCCGACUAAAUAUCAAUAAGAAAAUUGAAUAGGAAUUUUUUCAAGUUUAAAUCAUUAUGCUGAUUUUAAUAACAAUACCACCAAGUUUUGAACAAUCUAAAUAUUGUUUUUAAUGUUUCAAAAUAUUUGUGUUUAACCCGCAUAAAAAGCACGGGUGGAUAAACUAGUAAUAACCAAAUCGAUGUAGCAUAGGUUCAUUUUUUAGCUUUACGUCUUAUUUUGUAUGUAAAUUAAAACUUGCAAUCUCAUGUUAAUAUUUAAACUUUAUGCUUUAUAAAAACAAUGAGCUUUUUAUUUUUGAAGGAUGUAAUUCGAUUAUCAUGAAGUGAGGGGAGGAGAAGUAUAUAUUUUGACAAUAAAAUAUAAUACCGUCAAAUUUAAUGUAGUUUUAGUUUGAAUGUACAAGGUUACAUAUUAAUAAUUCAACCUCUAAAUGAAUAUACCGUGUCAUAUAUAUGCCAUAUAAAUAAAUCUAAUAAUUAACAUUAUUUGAUGUCCUGUUACAGAAUCUUCUUGGAGUCGUGGGCAACUACAUAUUGCUGUAGGUAAAUAUUAUCAUAAGAAAUCCAAUCUUCUCGUUUGAUGAUGAUGGUAUUUUGAUGAUGAUGCAUCUUAAAUUACAGGCAUAUCAGCAGCUGUGGCAGCGAUAAUAAUUUUUUCCAUAAUUAUAAUAUGUCUCACUAGAAGAAAAGGUUCAUUUAGUGCCGUCAUAGCAAAGAUCAUCAGGCCGAAGAAUUCGCAGCAUGUUGACAGUGUUGAAACAUUUAUGAUGGACUACCAUUCUCUUACUCCAAAGCGUUAUUCAUAUUCAGAUAUCAAGAAAAUGACCAGCUCAUUCGUCAAUAUACUAGGUCAGGGGGGAUUUGGUUAUGUAUACAGAGGAAAGUUACCAGACGACGGUCGUCUCGUGGCUGUAAAAGUUCUAAAAGAGUCCAAAGGUGAUGGAGAAGAGUUCAUGAAUGAAGUUGCAAGCAUCAGUAGAACUUCCCACGUGAAUGUAGUUACCCUCUUGGGUUUCUGCUACGAGAGGAAUAAAAGAGCUUUGAUUUAUGAAUUCAUGCCCAAUGGAUCUUUAGAUAGCUUUAUAUCUGAUAAAGGAUCCCCACUUACAAACUGUCGUUUAGAAUGGAAAAAAUUAUAUGAAAUUGCAGUUGGUAUUGCUAGAGGUCUGGAGUACUUGCAUAGAGGGUGUAACACUCGGAUUGUGCAUUUUGACAUAAAGCCUCACAACAUUCUUCUUGAUGAAGACUUUUGUCCAAAGAUCUCAGAUUUUGGUCUCGCGAAGCUAUGCCAGAGCAAAGUAAGUAAGAUUUCGAUGAUAGGUGCCAGAGGAACUGUUGGUUACAUAGCACCUGAAGUAUUCUGCAGAUCUUUUGGAGGAGUAACUUACAAGUCUGAUGUGUAUAGUUAUGGAAUGAUGGUUCUUGAAAUGGUCGGACAAAGGAAAGACUUUGAUAUGGGAUCGUUGGAAACCAACGAGAUGUAUUUCCCGGAUUGGUUU